UACUGCGGGAAACAUCCUGGACUAAUUCCUCAAGUAGCCCAGCUGUGUGUCUACUUAACCAAUAGGCCUGGUCUGCGGAUUGCUCUGCCUCCUUCCUGCAAACCAAGCCCACCUGCCACUGCAACCAAAUAUUAAAAUUGAUUACUUUCUUCUACAGGUCGCAGGGGGGCUGGAGCCUAUCCCAGCAUACAUUGGGCGAAAGGCAGGAAUACACCCUGGACUCUCCAAUCAGCCUAACCUGCAUGUCUUUGGAGAACAUGCAAACUCCGCACAGAGAGGCCCCGGCCGACGGGGAUUCAAACCCAGGACCUCCUUGCUGUGAGGCGGCAGUGCUACCCACUGCACCAUCCGUGCCACCAAAAUUUAAAUCAAACUGUUUUCAGGUGAUCAGCAUGUGGAGGCGUGUAUAUUUUCUCCCAGGUAGGCUGCAGAUGUACUUCCGAAGAGGUCUGUGAAGUCCUUGGCAAAAUCGGAACAAUACCAGUACUUCAGGAGACCCAGCCUUCACCUUCCCUCCUGCCCUGGCUAUUCCAACUGCCCCAGUCCCAAGCCCAGUCUCCUUUAAUACCUAUGCAUAUCCACCAUGCUAAUAUUGUUACAAACAACAAUCUAUAGUUAUUCAUUGAUAUUUUUGUUGCUGUUGUUGUGUUUAUAUGUUCAUAAGAAUUGUAAUAUGCAAUGCCCUCCGUAAUGCUUGGGACAAAAACAUUAAUUUAGCUCAGUACACCACAAUUUUAUAUUCAUAAACAAACGAUUCAAAGUGCAAGUUCUCAUAUUUUAUUGAAGGGUAUUUUUAUGCAUUCUGGUUUCACCAUGUAGACAUGACAGCACUUUUUAUACAUAAUCCCCCAUUUCAGGGCACCAUAAUGUUUGGGACAUAGUUAUGUGAUGUAAAUUACAGUCAUGUUUACUGCAUAUUUUCUGUAUGCAUGACUGGUUGAAGUCUGUGACCCACUGAGA